AGCGGCGGACGGGUGAGUAACACGUGGCCAACCUGUACACUAAAACUGGGAUAACUUCGGGAAACCGAAGCUAAUACCGGAUAGGAUCUUCUCCUUCAUGGGAGAUGAUUGAAAGAUGGUUUCGGCUAUCACUUACAGAUGGGCCCGCGGUGCAUUAGCUAGUUGGUGAGGUAACGGCUCACCAAGGCAACGAUGCAUAGCCGACCUGAGAGGGUGAUCGGCCACACUGGGACUGAGACACGGCCCAGACUCCUACGGGAGGCAGCAGUAGGGAAUCUUCCGCAAUGGACGAAAGUCUGACGGAGCAACGCCGCGUGAGUGAUGAAGGCUUUCGGGUCGUAAAACUCUGUUGUUAGGGAAGAACAAGUACAAGAGUAACUGCUUGUACCUUGACGGUACCUAACCAGAAAGCCACGGCUAACUACGUGCCAGCAGCCGCGGUAAUACGUAGGUGGCAAGCGUUAUCCGGAAUUAUUGGGCGUAAAGCGCGCGCAGGCGGUUUCUUAAGUCUGAUGUGAAAGCCCACGGCUCAACCGUGGAGGGUCAUUGGAAACUGGGGAACUUGAGUGCAGAAGAGAAAAGCGGAAUUCCACGUGUAGCGGUGAAAUGCGUAGAGAUGUGGAGGAACACCACUGGCGAAGGCGGCUUUUUGGUCUGUAACUGACGCUGAGCGCGAAGCGUGGGGAGCAACAGGAUUAUAUACCCUGGUAGUCCACGCCGCAACGAUGAGUGCUGAGUGUUAGAGGGUUUCUGCCCUUUAGUGCUGCAGCUGAGCGCAUUAAGCACUCCGCCUUGGGGGAGUACGUUCGCAGACUGAAAACUGCACACGAAUGACUGGGGGCGCGCACAUUCAGUGCAGCAUGUAGGUUUAAUUCGAGCAACGCUACCACCAUAACAUGUCCUGACAUCCUCUGACACUCUAUAUCGAGCGUGCCCGUCGAGUACGAGUGACAGUGUGCAUGUGUCGUCAGCUC
rnacentral:rRNA from 2 species